UCGCCUACGGGAGGCAGCAGUGAGGAAUAUUGGUCAAUGGCCGGAAGGCUGAACCAGCCAAGUCGCGUGAGGGACGACUGCCCUAUGGGUUGUAAACCUCUUUUAUAAGGGAAGAAUAAAUGCUACGUGUAGCAUGAUGCCUGUACCUUAUGAAUAAGCAUCGGCUAACUCCGUGCCAGCAGCCGCGGUAAUACGGAGGAUGCGAGCGUUAUCCGGAUUUAUUGGGUUUAAAGGGUGCGUAGGCGGACUGGAAAGUCAGCGGUAAAAUCGAGAGGCUCAACCUCUUUCCGCCGUUGAAACUGUCG
rnacentral:rRNA from 1 species